rnacentral:rRNA from 1 species
GACAGAGGGUGCAAACGUUGUUCGGAAUUACUGGGCGUAAAGCGCGUGUAGGCGGCCCUGCAAGUCGGGUGUGAAAUCCCACGGCUCAACCGUGGAAGUGCACUCGAAACUGCAGGGCUAGAGUCCUGGAGAGGAAGGUGGAAUGCUUGGUGUAGAGGUGAAAUUCGUAGAUAUCGGGAGGAACACCAGUGGCGAAGGCGGCGAUCUGGGCAGAUACUGACGCUGAGGUGCGAAAGCGUGGGGAGCAAACAGG